rnacentral:rRNA from 1 species
GGCGGCGUGCCUAACACAUGCAAGUCGAACGCGAAAGGUGGCAACCCCCGGUAUCGUGUCACACGGGUGAGUAACACGUGUGUAUCCUACCCGGAGGUGGGGGAUAACCCUUCCAAAGGAGGGCUAAUACCGCAUGACAUCGCGAGGACCUCGGUCUUUGCUAUCAAAGCUGGCCUCUGUUUACGAGCUAUCGCCACCUGAUGGGCCCGCUCCCCAUUAACUAGUUGGUGAGGUAACGGAUCACCAAGGCUACUAUGGGUAACCGGCCUGAGACGGCAACCGGCCACACUGGAACUGCGACACGGUCCACACUCUUACGGGAGGCAGCAGUGAGGAAUCUUGCGCAAUGGGCGAAAGCCUGAUGUAGCGAAGCCGCGUGGAGGAUGAAGGUCUUCGGAUUGUAAAAUCCUGUAGAGUGGGACGAAUUCCAUGAGGGUGAACAACCCUCGUGGUUGACGGUACCGCUGGAGGAAGCCCUGGCUAACUCUGUGCCAGCAGCCGCGGUAAUACUGAGGGGGCCACCGUUGUUUUGAAUCAUUGGGCGUAAAAGGCGCGUAGGCGGCCGAUCAAAUCGGAGGUGAAAUCUCUCGGGUCUAAUGAGGAACUGCCUCCUAUACUGUUCGGCUUGAGUCCUCGAGAGGGUACUGGAAUUUUCAGUGUAGCGGUGAAAUGUGUAGAGACUUGGAAGAACACCAGUGGGGAAGGGGGCUACCCGGACAGGUACUGACGCUGAAGCGCGAAAGAUAGGGGAGCACACACGAUUAGAUACCCCGGUAGUCUUAGCUGUAAACGAUGGGCAUUUGGUGUUGCGGGUAUUGACCUCUUCAGUGCCGAAGCUAACGCAUUAAGUGUCCCG